AAGGCCCUAGUUUAGUUAAAGCAUCUGAGUUGCAAUCAGGAGAUGCAGGGUAAUAGCCUGCGGGUCUUA
rnacentral:tRNA from 1 species